rnacentral:rRNA from 1 species
GACGUAGGGCGCGAGCGUUGUCCGGAUUUAUUGGGCGUAAAGAGCUCGUAGGCGGCUUGUUGCGUCGACCGUGAAGACCCGGGGCUCAACUUCGGGCUUGCGGUCGAUACGGGCGGGCUAGAGUUCGGUAGGGGAGACUGGAAUUCCUGGUGUAGCGGUGAAAUGCGCAGAUAUCAGGAGGAACACCGGUGGCGAAGGCGGGUCUCUGGGCCGAUACUGACGCUGAGGAGCGAAAGCGUGGGGAGCGAACAGG